rnacentral:rRNA from 1 species
UACGUAGGGGGCUCGCGUUGUCCGGAAUCAUUGGGCGUAAAGCGCGCGUAGGCGGCCCGGUAAGUCCGCUGUGAAAGUCCAGGGCUCAACCCUGGAAAGCCAGUGGAUACUGCCGGGCUAGAGUACGGAAGAGGCAAGUGGAAUUCCUGGUGUAGCGGUGGAAUGCGCAGAUAUCAGGAGGAACACCUAUAGCGAAGGCAGCUUGCUGGGACGUUACUGACGCUAAGGCGCGAAAGCGUGGGGAGCGAACAGG